AUACGGAGGGUGCAAGCGUUAAUCGGAAUUACUGGGCGUAAAGCGCGCGUAGGCGGUUAUUUAAGUCAGAUGUGAAAUCCCUGGGCUCAACCUAGGAACUGCAUCUGAUACUGGGUAACUAGAGUUUUGGAGAGGUAAGUGGAAUUUCCGGUGUAGCGGUGAAAUGCAUAGAGAUCGGAAGGAACACCAGUGGCGAAGGCGACUUACUGGCCAAAAACUGACGCUGAGGUGCGAAAGCGUCGGUAGCAAACAGGAUUAGAAACCCGGGUAGUCC
rnacentral:rRNA from 1 species